CGUGCGAACCCAACCACUCGGCCACGGAGCCAGCCCCUGGUCCCAUGAUUUUUAUGGGGCUGGGAGUUGAGGGCAAUGAGAUGUAGGCAAGUCUGCGGGGAAUAAACUGGGGAUAAUUUCUCUUCCUGGUAAAAGAGAGGCAUGAAAGCAGAAACCCGUUUGUGCAUGUCCCCUUUCUGCUUAGAAUGCUGUUGUGCCCCCGGCUGUGGCAGCGACCUCACAGCAUUCUGGUGUUCGUGGCCAACACAGUAAUGGCAGAGAAAUGCUGAGAGGAGUCUGGAUCUUUGAUCACAGUGCUGCAUGGCUGCUCCAGUCCUGGCACUUCCUACCUAUAGACUUCUGAUUUGGUGAGAUGAGCAGUCUGACUUACAGCGCACCAAACGUGCACUGUACAUCUGCUUCAAUCACGUUCUCAAAGCAAAGAAUGCACUCUUUAAAGAUAAGGAUGGAUGUCUCCCUUCCUCUGAUGCCAGCACCAGUACUUCUUUGAAGCUCCCCCAGCUGUGGCUGCCUGGAAUGUGGGUCUGAGAACAGAGAGGACACAUGAUGCUGAGCAGGAAGGUGUGCUGGGGUUGAGAAACUUGUCACAUCUUCCAUGGCUGCUCACAGGCAAUGACAGGACAGCAGGAGACUACGGUGAGCCCAUUCCUGGAGGGUGACUUUGGCUGAAGGACUCCGUGAUGGCCUUGAUGAAAUGUCUUAGAACUGCACUGCCAAAGGAGAUGCUUCUCCCCAAACCCCCUUCGUCCCUUUCUCUUCCACAUACAUCAAACAUGCAUUCAUCACUGCCAUUGGCUCCCUCACCGUUUACCUUCACAGGCAGCUCACCUAAUAAAUCUCUUGCACAUGUAAUUACAUGUUGGUGUCUGCUUCCCAGAGGACCCAGACUAAAAACAGAUAUGAAAAUUGCUCUGAAAAUAUAGGCUUCAAAUCUGUUUUU